rnacentral:rRNA from 1 species
CCAGCAGGUGAGGCUGGGCACUCUAGAGAGACUGCCAGGGACAACCUGGAGGAAGGUGGGGAUGACGUCAAAUCAUCAUGCCCCUUAUGAUCAGGGCUACACACGUGCUACAAUGGCGUAAACAAAGGGAAGCGACCCUGCGAAGGCAAGCGAAUCCCAAAAAUAACGUCCCAGUUCGGAUUGUAGUCUGCAACUCGACUACAUGAAGCUGGAAUCGCUAGUAAUCGCGAAUCAGAAUGUCGCGGUGAAUACGUUCCCGGGUCUUGUACACACCGCCCGUCACACCAUGGGAGUCGGUAACGCCCGAAGUCAGUGACCCAACCGCAAGGAGGGAGCUGCCGAAGGUGGGACCGAUAACUGGGGUGAAGUCGUAACAAGGUAGCCGUAUCGGAAGGUGCGGCUGGAUCACCUCCUUUCUAAGGAA